rnacentral:lncRNA from 1 species
CACGCCCCGGGGCGGGGAGCAGUGGCACAUUGGGCGCGGCAGCCUCGGCCCGGUGCGCUGCACUUUUUGGGGGCUGGCGGCAGGCUUUGGGCUGCGCGGAACAUGGCGGAGCUGGAGCUCGGGCAGCACUGCGGGAUGGCGGAUUGCCGACAACUUGCCACUUCUAGGUACUGUGUAGAUGCAGUUGAUAAGUGUCCUUGUAAAGAUACCUACUCCAUGAUACAGGUAAGCAAAAGUUAAUCAUAUAAAAAUUAAGCUAGAAAGUAUUACAAAAUCAAUGACCAUGUUGUCUAAGUGAAAACAAAUCUCUUUUCAGAUUUUCUCCCCUUUGUAUGUGAUGGCUGUUCAGGCAUCUUUUGGUAAGUUCAUAGAAUCGUAGAGUGUCUCAAAUUAGAAGGGGCCCCAAAUGUUCAUUGAGUCCAACUCCCUGCUCCUCGCAAAACUACCUAAAACUAGACCAUAUGACUAAGAGCAUUAUCCAGACAUUCCUUUUACUCUGACAGACUCAGUGCUGUGACUGCUUCCCUGGGGAGUGUGUUCUGAGAGGGGGGUUCCUUCUCAGUGAAGAACACUUUUGUAAUGUCCAGCCUGAACUUCCCCUGACACAGUUUCAUUCCAUUUCCUCGUCUCCUAUUGCUGGUCACCCAGGAGAAGAGGUCAGCACCUUCCCUUCCACUCCCUGCCUUGGGGAAGUUACAGACUGCGACGAGGUCACCCCUCAGCCUUCUCUUUUCCAAGCUGAACAACCCAGGUGACCUCAGCCACUCCUCAUACAUCUUGCCCUCAAGGCCUUUCAACCAUCUUAGUCACCAACCUUGGGACACAUUGUAGUGCUUUCAUGUCCUUAUAUUGAGAGGCACCCAAAACUACGCACAGUACUUCAGGAGAGGCUACAUGAGUGCAGUGUAGAGAGUGACAGUUGCCUUCUUCCGCUAUGCUGUGCUUGAUGCACUCCAGGGCACAGUUGGCCCUUUUGGCUACCAUGUCACACUGUUGACUCAUAUUGAGUUUGCCAUUGAAUGAGACCCCAGAUCUGCUCUCCAUCCUCUUGUCCCCCAGAUUGUAUGUAUAACCAGGAUUACCUCAUACCAGCUGGAGAAUCUGGUACUUGCUCUUGUUAAGUUUCGUAUGGUCGGUGGCUACUCAGCUCUCUAGUCUAUCCAGAUCUCGCUGUAAUGCCCCUCUACCCGUGAGGCAGUCAACAGCUCCUCCUAGUUUAGUAUCAUCAACAAACUGAUUUAAUAUACAUUUGAUUCUUGUGACCAGAUCAUUUACAGAAAAAUUAAAGAGCACUGGCCCUAAAAUUGAACCCUGGAGAACCCAGUGGUGACUGGCUGCCAGCCUGAUGUAACCCCAUUUACUAUAAGUCUUUAAGCUUCACCUGAUCACCUGUUGCUCAGCCAUCAUACUAUGGACUUUUCUAGCUGUGUGCUGGACAUUUUGACCAGAAGGAUACUGUGAGUGGCAGUUUGCUAAAAUCCAAACCCACUCACCAUAUCUACUGGUUUCCCUAGGUCA